rnacentral:rRNA from 1 species
GACGAACGCUGGCGGCGUGCCUAAUACAUGCAAGUAGAACGCUGAAGGAGGAGCUUGCUUCUCUGGAUGAGUUGCGAACGGGUGAGUAACGCGUAGGUAACCUGCCUGGUAGCGGGGGAUAACUAUUGGAAACGAUAGCUAAUACCGCAUAAUAGUAGAUGUUGCAUGACAUUUGCUUAAAAGGUGCAAUUGCAUCACUACCAGAUGGACCUGCGUUGUAUUAGCUAGUUGGUGGGGUAACGGCUCACCAAGGCGACGAUACAUAGCCGACCUGAGAGGGUGAUCGGCCACACUGGGACUGAGACACGGCCCAGACUCCUACGGGAGGCAGCAGUAGGGAAUCUUCGGCAAUGGACGGAAGUCUGACCGAGCAACGCCGCGUGAGUGAAGAAGGGUUUAGGAUCGUAAAGCUCUGUUGUAAGAGAAGAACGAGUGUGAGAGUGGAAAGUUCACACUGUGACGGUAUCUUACCAGAAAGGGACGGCUAACUACGUG